rnacentral:rRNA from 1 species
AAAGGUUAGCAGAACAACUUAUGCAAGUCGAACGGGGAACUCCAGGAGCUUGCUCUUGGGGGAUCAGUGGCGAACGGGUGAGUAACACGUGAGCAAUCUGCCCUUGACUCUGGGAUAAGCGUUGGAAACGACGUCUAAUACCGGAUACGACCAUCCCCGGCAUCGGGAGGUGGUGGAAAGAAUUUUGGUCAAGGAUGAGCUCGCGGCCUAUCAGCUUGUUGGUGAGGUAAUGGCUCACCAAGGCGACGACGGGUAGCCGGCCUGAGAGGGUGACCGGCCACACUGGGACUGAGACACGGCCCAGACUCCUACGGGAGGCAGCAGUGGGGAAUAUUGCACAAUGGGCGCAAGCCUGAUGCAGCAACGCCGCGUGAGGGACGACGGCCUUCGGGUUGUAAACCUCUUUUAGCAGGGAAGAAGCGAAAGUGACGGUACCUGCAGAAAAAGCACCGGCUAACUACGUGCCAGCAGCCGCGGUAAUACGUAGGGUGCAAGCGUUGUCCGGAAUUAUUGGGCGUAAAGAGCUCGUAGGCGGUUUGUCGCGUCUGCUGUGAAAUCCCGAGGCUCAACCUCGGGCCUGCAGUGGGUACGGGCAGACUAGAGUGCGGUAGGGGAGAUUGGAAUUCCUGGUGUAGCGGUGGAAUGCGCAGAUAUCAGGAGGAACACCGAUGGCGAAGGCAGAUCUCUGGGCCGUAACUGACGCUGAGGAGCGAAAGCGUGGGGAGCGAACAGGAUUAGAUACCCUGGUAGUCCACGCCGUAAACGUUGGGAACUAGAUGUGGGGACCAUUCCACGGUCUCCGUGUCGCAGCUAACGCAUUAAGUUCCCCGCCUGGGGAGUACGGCCGCAAGGCUAAAACUCAAAGGAAUUGACGGGGGCCCGCACAAGCGGCGGAGCAUGCGGAUUAAUUCGAUGCAACGCGAAGAACCUUACCAAGGCUUGACAUAUACGAGAACGGGCCAGAAAUGGUCAACUCUUUGGACACUCGUAAACAGGUGGUGCAUGGUUGUCGUCAGCUCGUGUCGUGAGAUGUUGGGUUAAGUCCCGCAACGAGCGCAACCCUCGUCCUAUGUUGCCAGCACGUAAUGGUGGGAACUCAUGGGAUACUGCCGGGGUCAACUCGGAGGAAGGUGGGGAUGACGUCAAAUCAUCAUGCCCCUUAUGUCUUGGGCUUCACGCAUGCUACAAUGGCCGGUACAAAGGGCUGCAAUACCGUAAGGUGGAGCGAAUCCCAAAAAGCCGGUCUCAGUUCGGAUUGAGGUCUGCAACUCGACCUCAUGAAGUCGGAGUCGCUAGUAAUCGCAGAUCAGCAACGCUGCGGUGAAUACGUUCCCGGGCCUUGUACACACCGCCCGUCAAGUCAUGAAAGUCGGUAACACCCGAAGCCGGUGGCCCAACCAUUUAUGGAGGGAGCUUUCGAAGGUGAUUGAUUC